rnacentral:lncRNA from 1 species
ACAAAUCUUAAUGCAAGAAUCGAUGCCACGUCAAGAAAAGAAACACGUUCGGACGAACUGUGGAACGACCGAACUAGCCACUUUAUCCACCCGAACGACCCACAUGACUCCUCGCCCUAAUUCCCCAUCCCCGCAACACUUCCUCUCAUCUCCUUCCUCGGCCCACCGUCGCCAAAUCCUCCAUCUCCCAUCGACUAUGAUGCGGCAACAACCACGAAUCCAACGAUUGACGGCGACAGAGAGCAUGGCUUCGCCCGUGCAUGAGCACAUGGACGCGGGGACAAUGAGGAGACG